CCUACGGGUGGCUGCAGUCGAGAAUUUUUGGCAAUGGGCGAAAGCCUGACCAAGCGAUGCCGCGUGCGGGAUGAAGGCCUUCGGGUUGUAAACCGCUGUCAGUGGGGAGGAAAGCUUUGUGAAGAGCAAGGCUUGACCUAUCCGCAGAGGAAGUGUGGGCUAAGUUCGUGCCAGCAGCCGCGGUAAGACGAACCACACAAACGAUAUUCGGAAUUACUGGGGUUCGAGGGUGCGGCGGCUGCUUGGGAAGGAAAUACCUCGGCUCAACCGAGGAACUGCGCCCAAAACUACUGUGCUUGAGGAAGAUAGAGGUAAGCGGAACUUACGGUGGAGCGGUGAAAUGCGUUGAUAUCGUAAGGAACACCUGUGGCGAAAGCGGCUUACUGGGUCUUUUCUGACGCUGAUGCACGAAAGCUAGGGGAGCAAACGGGAUUAGAUACCCUAGUAGUC
rnacentral:rRNA from 1 species